UUAAUAAUGAAUUUAAGAAUAAAAAGGAAAAUAACAUGGUAGUAUAGACAUCAUUGGUGGCUACUUAACUAAAUGAAGAACUCUGUGGCUGAACAUAUUAAUUCUGACCUUUGAACAACUCUCAUAAAUAUUUUAUGCAUACUUCACACCUAUGAAGAACUUGUCUUUGAAAAUAGUUUUUAUCUGCAGGAGUGAUCAAAUGGGCUUAGAAAUUCUACCAUCUGCCAAUAAUUUUUAUAACCUAACUCAAUCAGUUGUAAAGAAUAUUAAGAAGACAAAAGAAAAAAACAAAACAGAAUACAUCAAAAGAGAGAACAUGGUUCGUUCUUCAAUUACUAACAGAGGUAUAAAAAAAAAGACAUAAGGAAAACCACUACAAAAUGUUGUAUGUCCAUCAAAUGCACCAUGUGCAACAAUUGCUGUUUGAAAAUGUAAAAAUCAGUGUGAGUGUAAAUUUACUUACCAAGAAUUCUGAAGUUUGCAUGUAGCGUAGUGAUAUUCAGAGUUAACUCAGA